rnacentral:rRNA from 1 species
GAUGAACGCUGGCGGCGUGCCUAAUACAUGCAAGUCGAGCGAACAGACGAGGAGCUUGCUCCUCUGACGUUAGCGGCGGACGGGUGAGUAACACGUGGAUAACCUACCUAUAAGACUGGGAUCAUUUCGGGAAACCGGCGCUAAUACCGUAUAAUAUAUUGAACCGCGUGGUUCAAUGGUGAAAUACGGUUUUUCUGUCACUUAUAGAUGGAUCCGCGCGGCAUUGGCUAGUUGGUAGGGUAACGGCUUACCAAGGCUACGAUGCGUAGCCGACCUGAGAGAGGGGUCGCCCACACUGGAACGGAGCCGCGGUCCAGACUCCUGAGGGAGGCACCAGAAGGGAAUGGGCCGCAAUGGGCGGAAGCCUGGCGGAGCAGCGCCGCGUGAGUUAUGAAAGUCUUCGGAUCGUAAAGCUCUGUUAUUGGGGAAAAACAAAUGUGUAAGUAACUAUGCACGGAUUGACGGUACCUAAUCAGAAAGCCACGGCUAACUACGUG